CCUACGGGGGGCAGCAGUGGGGACUAUUGGGCAAUGUGCGCAAGCCUGACCCAGCAACGCCGCGUGCAGGAAUACGGCUUUCGGGUUGUAAACUUCUUUUAUCAGGUACGACACAAAUGACGGUACCUGAUGAAUCAGCCACGGCUAACUACGUGCCAGCAGCCACGGUAAUACGUAGGUGGCAAGCGUUAUCCGGCUUUCCUGGGUGUAAAGGGCGUGUAGGCUGGCUUGCAAGUCAGAUGGGAAAUUCCAGGGCUCAACCCUGGAACUGCAUGUGAAACUGUAGGUCUUGAGUGCUGGAGAGGCAAUCGGAAUGUCGGGGGUAGCGGGGAAAUGCGUAGAUAUACGGAGGAACACCAGUUGCGAAGGCGGAUUGCUGGAAAGUAACUGACGCUGAGGCGCGAAAGCGGGGGGAGCAAACAGGAUUAGAUACCCUAGUAGUC
rnacentral:rRNA from 1 species